AGUGAACGCUGGCGGUAGGCCUAACACAUGCAAGUCGAACGGCAGCACAGUAAGAGCUUGCUCUUACGGGUGGCGAGUGGCAGACGGGCGAGGAAUACAUCGGAAUCUACUUUUUCGUGGGGGAUAACGUAGGGAAACUUACGCUAAUACCGCAUACGACCUACGGGUGAAAGAAGGGGUUCUUCGGACCUUGCGCGAUUGAAUGAGGCGAUGUCGGAUUAGCUAGUUGGCGGGGUAAAGGCCCACCAAGGCGACGAUCCGUAGCUGGUCUGAGAGGAUGAUCAGCCACACUGGACCUGAGACACGGUCCAGACUCCUACGGGAGGCAGCAGUGGAGAAUAUUGGACAAUGGGCGCAAGCCUAAUCCAGCCAUACCGCGUGGGUGAAGAAGGCCUUCGGGUUGUAAAGCCCUUUUGUUGGGAAAGAAAAGCAGCAGUUUAAUACCCCGCUGUUCUGACGGUACCCAAAGAAUAAGCACCGGCUAACUUCGUG
rnacentral:rRNA from 1 species